AUGUUUGAUUGCAACGGGGAAUCCCAACAGCAGGUAGGGGAUGGAAUCUGGGCUGAACUCAGGGAGAAUGAAGACCAUAUAACACCUUGCCCCAAGGAUACGAAGGAUAGUAGAUCAAUCUGUGUUCGAGACCAGAAGAAGAAUGAUGAUGAAGCAGCUAGUGUUGUGGGCCUUACUGAAUGUACUUCAGGGGGUCAAACUGAACAUCCUGGUUUGGAAAAGCAGGCUGCCACUGAGGCUAGUGGACAUUAUUCAGCUGCACAACUUGACAUAGAAUCCUGGCCUGACCUGCCUCUCCCGAGCACUGCAUUUGAUAGAAACUACAAUGACUAUAAUAUAGCAUCAACAUAUUUGGAUUUCAAUUCUGCAUCUAGUUUACAAAAAGUUACCAGAAGCGUGUCAGUGCAGCUGGAUGGUGAAUCUGAAGUGUUUGGCAAUGAGAAUGAAGAAAAGAGCAACAACCUUCUCGACUGUGACUGGGGCAAUAUUGGAGAUUUUGAUGAUUUUGACUACUUGUUUAGCAACACUGAAGCCUUAUUUGGAAAUGAGAUGAUUGUUAAUGGCAGUAAUUUCCUUGUUACGAGUUCAGAUGUGGUUGUCGGUACUGUACAAUCAAUCCCCUUUCCGUGUAUACCAUUAAAUAAGCAACCAUCUUCUGAUUGUGGAUCUUCUUCGGUUCUGAUUAAUUGUACUCCCAGUAAAAUAGCCAAACAAGAAAUCAAGCUGGAUGCCAGGACUCGACUCUGCAUUUGA
rnacentral:rRNA from 1 species